UUGCUGUGAUGAAUGAUAAUUAAACAUUCGUAGUUUCCACCAAAAGCUUGGCUGAUGAUGGCCUAACUUCCUUGGAUGUCUGAGCGA
rnacentral:snoRNA from 1 species